rnacentral:rRNA from 1 species
CCGAUGGCGACCGGCGCACGGGUGAGUAACACGUAUCCAACCUGCCGAUGACUCGGGGAUAGCCUUUCGAAAGAAAGAUUAAUACCCGAUGGCAUAGUUCUUCCGCAUGGUGGAACUAUUAAAGAAUUUCGGUCAUCGAUGGGGAUGCGUUCCAUUAGGUUGUUGGCGGGGUAACGGCCCACCAAGCCUUCGAUGGAUAGGGGUUCUGAGAGGAAGGUCCCCCACAUUGGAACUGAGACACGGUCCAAACUCCUACGGGAGGCAGCAUG